UAAAUGGCUCUACUAAGAGCCAGUUAUUUUAAAAAGAACAGAGAG
rfam:Astyanax mexicanus chromosome 3, whole genome shotgun sequence.